GACGAACGCUGGCGGCGUGCCUAAUACAUGCAAGUCGAGCGAAGCUUAUCCUUCGGGGUAAGUUUAGCGGCGGACGGGUGAGUAACACGUAGGUAACCUGCCCGUAAGACUGGGAUAACUACCGGAAACGGUAGCUAAUACCGGAUAAUUUAUCUCUCCGCAUGGAGGGGUAAUGAAAGGCGGAGCAAUCUGUCACUUACGGAUGGGCCUGCGGCGCAUUAGCUAGUAGGUAGGGUAACGGCCUACCUAGGCGACGACGGGUAGCCGGCCUGAGAGGGCGACCGGCCACACUGGGACUGAGACACGGCCCAGACUCCUACGGGAGGCAGCAGUGGGGAAUAUUGCGCAAUGGGCGAAAGCCUGACGCAGCGACGCAGCGUGAGGGAUGAAGGCCUUCGGGUUGUAAACCUCUUUCAGCGGGGACGAAGCGAAAGUGACGGUACCCGCAGAAGAAGCACCGGCUAACUACGUGCCAGCCGCCGCAGUAAUAC
rnacentral:rRNA from 1 species